rnacentral:tRNA from 1 species
GCAGAUGUGGUGGAAUUGGUAGACACGCUAUCUUGAGGGGGUAGUGGCGCGAGCCGUGCGAGUUCGAGUCUCGCCAUCUGCACCA